UACGUAGGUGGCAAGCGUUGUCCGGAUUUACUGGGCGUAAAGAGCGUGCAGGCGGUCGGUCAAGUCGCGUGUGAAAGCCCCCGGCUCAACUGGGGAGGGUCACGCGAUACUGAUCGACUCGAAGGCAGGAGAGGGAAGUGGAAUUCCCGGUGUAGUGGUGAAAUGCGUAGAUAUCGGGAGGAACACCAGUGGCGAAGGCGACUUCCUGGCCUGUUCUUGACGCUGAGGCGCGAAAGCUAGGGGAGCAAACGGG
rnacentral:rRNA from 1 species